CACACUGUAGAAUUUGGAUCAAUACUUUUAUUCAGUCAUAGGCUGCUGUUAUACUGAUGGGUGUAAGUUAAACCUCAUUUAUACCUGAGCUAAGGAAUGUCAGCACUGCUAGUAUGCUCCCUGUCGUGGACAGAGGGAUUCUUAUGCUAAUUCUCUGUUACCAGACAAGCUCACAAUUCACUGUGGAACCACAGACCAUCUUUAUGGAUGGAGCCCCCCAGUAACCCAUGGGUGGAAAAAAACUGCACAUUUCUGAAAGAAUCCUAACAUCCUGCUGUUGGAAUUUUCAUCUAUGUAAAUAACAAAACACUAAAAGCAUCUGUUUUAUUUCUGCUUGGAUUUUUAAUUGUCAGGAUGCCCUAGUAAAGUUUUCUUUUCGUUUUCUGAUAAUUUUUACAAUGAAGACUGGAAUGCACAUCUAAACCUUAAAAACAUGGACCAGGUUGACAAUCCUAAGAAGGGCAAUUUGACAGCUCACAAGCCUAAAAAAAAAAAAAAGUUUAUUUUUGUGUAUAUGAAUAUGUAAAUGCUAUUAAAAUUGUUGAGAGAUUGCACUGCAGUGCCCAGUACCUUUUUAGUUUUUCCUUGACAUUGCCUGGAGGAAACUGGCUGCUGAAAUUGCCUACUGAUGAGAGGCUUGACAACUGUGUUAUUACAGCAUAGUUGAAUAUAGCUAUCAGUAAAAACUUUCAAUAUUCUUGUAAAUAAACAUGCAAUAUGCAAGUGUGUUUAUAUCUGA
rnacentral:lncRNA from 1 species